GGGGCGCAUUGCCCUGCUGCGGGAGGAGGGCUGCGCGCGGUGUCUGCGGGAAGGAGUCCGCAGCGAGCGAGAGCCGGGGCGAGAGGCCCAGAGGCCCGCUGAGCCGCGCGGGGAACCCCCGGGCGCAACCGGGCGGGAGGCCGCCGCCGCCAGGCAGACAGGCCCCGUAGGGCCUGGCGCGGAGAAGGACGUGCGCUGUGGCGACGCGGAGGAGAGAGGCGCCGCGGCCUGAGUGAGACCCAGUGAAAAGAGCAUGACAUUUGGAGGCGGAAGACUUGGUUUCAAAUCCCUGCUGCUUCCUCACUGAUUUUAUAAUUUGGAAAUAUCUAUGCAAGAUGUUGACACUGCAAACUUGGACAGUGCAAGCCUUGUUUAUUUUUCUCACCACUGAAUCUUUAGGU